UCAAGAACAAUGUUCCGAAUUAAAUUAAUAUACAAUGAUUUUAACAAUUACAAUGACAACAAUUACGAUACAGAGAGGGUUGACGAUAAUGACGAGGACAAAAUGACUGGAAUCAAUUAAGGAACAAUACGAAGAAGAAAAUCGAAAAUAAAUCCGGCGAAAGGUUCCGGUGUUGAAGAAAAAAUCACAAAUGGGUACGGGCGAGGGGGAAAAUAAAAAUAAAAAAAGAAAAUAAGAAAAAGUGUAAGUGAAAAGGCAGUGUACGUGACAGAAGGUAAGAGGGAGUAGAGGUCAAGGUACAUUCGUAGGCGAAGUAAAGGUCCGAUUUAAAAACAUGUAGGUAGAAUAGAGAAAAGGAAUAUUAUUUACACCGGGAUUUGUGCAAAAAUAAUAAUAAAA
rnacentral:lncRNA from 1 species